rnacentral:rRNA from 1 species
UACGUAGGGUGCAAGCGUUGUCCGGAAUUAUUGGGCGUAAAGAGCUCGUAGGCGGUCUGUCGCGUCGGCUGUGAAAUCCCGAGGCUCAACCUCGGGUCUGCAGUCGAUACGGGCAAACUGGAGUGUUGCAGGGGAGACUGGAAUUCCUGGUGUAGCGGUGAAAUGCGCAGAUAUCAGGAGGAACACCGGUGGCGAAGGCGGGUCUCUGGGCAACAACUGACGCUGAGGAGCGAAAGUGUGGGGAGCGAACAGG